ACGGCGANUGAAGCGGCAAAAGCUCAAAUUUGAAAUCCCCCGGGAAUUGUAAUUUGAAGGUGGCCUCAGUUAGUCCAAACAUUCUUAAGUCCAUUGGAAAAUGGCGCCAUGGAGGGUGAUAGCCCCGUAAAGAUGUCGUUUGUUCUAUUUUCUCUGGCCACCAAAGAGUCGAGUUGUUUGGGAAUGCAGCUCUAAGUGGGUGGUAAAUUCCAUCUAAAGCUAAAUAUUGGCGAGAGACCGAUAGCGAACAAGUACAGUGAUGGAAAGAUGAAAAGCACUUUGAAAAGAGAGUGAAAAAGUACGUGAAAUUGUUGAAAGGGAAGGGCUUGCAAGCAGACACAACCUCGUGUUGGGCCAGCAUCGGGGCGAGAGGAAGUAAAAACGAUUUGGAAAUGUAACUUUCGAGUAUUAUAGACCUUAUCCCUCCCUUCCAUCUCAUCCCGAGGCCUGCGGUUUAUCCUAGGAUGCUGGCGUAAUGGUUGCAAGUCGCCCGUU
rnacentral:rRNA from 1 species